GCAGUCGUGGCGGAGUGGUUAAGGUGAUGGACUAGAAAUUCUUCGAAGUCACCCCGCACAGGUUCGAAUCCUGUCGACUGCG
rnacentral:tRNA from 2 species